UACGAAGGGGGCUAGCGUUGCUCGGAAUCACUGGGCGUAAAGGGUGCGUAGGCGGGUCUUUAAGUCAGGGGGGAAAUCCUGGAGCUCAACUCCAGAACUGCCUUUGAUACUGAGGAUCUUGAGUUCGGGAGAGGUGAGUGGAACUGCGAGUGUAGAGGUGAAAUUCGUAGAUAUUCGCAAGAACACCAGUGGCGAAGGCGGCUCACUGGCCCGAUACUGACGCUGAGGCGCGAAAGCCAGGGGAGCAAACGGG
rnacentral:rRNA from 1 species